rnacentral:sRNA from 1 species
GAGGUGAUCAGGCCUCAGCUGCGUAC